rnacentral:rRNA from 1 species
UACGAAGGGUGCAAGCGUUACUCGGAAUUACUGGGCGUAAAGCGUGCGUAGGUGGUUUGUUAAGUCUGUUGUGAAAGCCCCGGGCUCAACCUGGGAACUGCAUUGGUGACUGCAUUGCUGGAGUAUGGCAGAGGGGGGUGGAAUUCCACGUGUAGCAGUGAAAUGCGUAGAGAUGUGGAGGAACACCGAUGGCGAAGGCAGCCCCCUGGGCCAAUACUGACGCCUCAUGCACGAAAGCGUGGGGAGCAAACAGG